CGAGCAGGCCGGGCGGCCGCGUCGCCGGUUGCGUGCAACCGUCGUCGAGGAAAGUCCGGACUCCGCAGGGCAGGGUGGUUGUCAACGGCAACCCGGGGCGACCCGCGGGAAAGUGCCACAGAGAACAGACCGCCUCGUGCGAGCGGGGUAAGGGUGAAACGGUGGUGUAAGAGACCACCAGCACCCCGGGUGACCGGGGUG
rnacentral:RNase_P_RNA from 1 species